UCCAACUCAUCGGGGAGCCAUCCCAGUUCAUUGCUAUGAAAUUGGGCGCUGAGACCUAAUGCUUAACACGCUUAAGCGGACAGGGACCCGUAUUACCUGAACCAGAUAAUGCUGGCGUAGGAAUUGAGUCGGAGAUUGGC
rnacentral:ncRNA from 1 species